rnacentral:lncRNA from 1 species
UGGUCCUGCUAGCUAAUUUACCUCCCUUAGAGAUGACACUGUGCUAACAGCAUUGUUGGUACACAACAGCUUUUCAUGAACAUGACACAUUCUUGAAAACUAUAUCAUGCCCCGGGGCCCUCUGCUUCAAAUAAACAUAAAAAAUCAUGCUUAGUGUGACAGAAAACAGUAUGGGAAGAAGAGAAAAGGCAUGCUACUCAUGAUUUAUUUCAUAACAAAAUUGAUAAGGUGAUGGAAAUGGCUAAGACAGACUGAACGAUGAGUUCGCUUCAAACAGACAGCAAAAAACUGUAGGUUCUGCAAAUCAUGUUUACAAAAAGUGUACUCCUAAGCAUCCAAUUUUUAAAAUGUCUCUGCAAAUAUUCCCUCAAGGAACCAGUAUCUUGUGAGCCCACACUUCUACUCACCAGACUAUUUAGCUGCUAAACCAGAAAAAAUGUUUUGACUAGUACCUCGUUCUGUUCUAUUAAACUUAAAACAUCUGCCAAAUCUGCAGACCUGCAUUUGUGGUACAUCAGUACUCCCUCUGUAAAUAUAAGAUAUUUUAGAUCACUACUAGUGAUCUAAAAGAUCUUUCCAGAUCACUACUAAAAGAUCUUUUUAGAUCACUACUAGUGAUCAUUUCUUAAAUGCAAAGUUCCUAGUCACUGCCCUAUUAAGCUGCUAAUCAAAAUUUACAACAUUUGACAACCAAGUAGUUUUCAUCAGUAAUGCACUGUGGAAGAACAAUCUUAAUUACUUCCUUGCGACUACCGGACUCUAUCCAAAUUAUCUGAACAGGGACCAAAUUUCUACAAAUGUACUAUAUCCCAAUUAUCACCUAAGAUUUUUACAUCUCUAUUAAUGUUAGUAUGUUGCGAACUAACCUCUUAGCCCACAAUGGACCUUGAGGGUUGACCUUACCUAUACACAGCCGCGACACCUGCGGCGAGUUGCCCCUUCUAUGCGUGCAAAACAGAAAAAGAUCACGAUAUACUUACGAAUCGACAUACCUCCUGAUUGAUUAGUUGCAUUAGGAACUUCAUCGUUGGCGGCCGCCUCUGCUUCCUAUCCCUCUUUCUCACUCCUCUGCUUCCAAAUGCCGUCCAUGCUGGGGCCUCUGGGGGAGAAGAGCCAGAGCUCUGCAUCCAAUUUGUGCCUGCAGCCAUUCGACGGAAAAGCGGAUUUCCUGAGCCACGGACCAAAUUGAUUUUCGUCUUCCGAUCCGCGGCUUAGCUUGCUGCAUUCCACCUGCAUUGUAGAUCAAGGUUUUCAGAUUUCCAUUUCAUAUUAAGCUACCAAACAACUACAUCAAUUCUAUCUCUUGAAACUCUCAUGCUUACCACUCGUUGACUCAUCAUUCUCGUUCCAGUCACCAGAGGAGUCUGAUUUCCCUCAUUAUCUUUCUUGCUUCUAGAGUUUUGGUCCAGUGGUCCUGCUAGCUAAUUUACCUCCCUUAGAGAUGACACUGUGCUAACAGCAUUGUUGGUACACAACAGCUUUUCAUGAACAUGACACAUUCUUGAAAACUAUAUCAUGCCCCGGGGCCCUCUGCUUCAAAUAAACAUAAAAAAUCAUGCUUAGUGUGACAGAAAACAGUAUGGGAAGAAGAGAAAAGGCAUGCUACUCAUGAUUUAUUUCAUAACAAAAUUGAUAAGGUGAUGGAAAUGGCUAAGACAGACUGAACGACGAGUUCGCUUCAAACAGACAGCAAAAAACUGUAGGUUCUGCAAAUCAUGUUUACAAAAAAUGUACUCCUAAGCAUCCAAUUUUUAAAAUGUCUCUGCAAAUAUUCCCUCAAGGAACCAGUAUCUUGUGAGCCCACACUUCUACUCACCAGACUAUUUAGCUGCUAAACCAGAAAAAAUGUUUUGACUAGUACCUCGUUCUGUUCUAUUAAACUUAAAGCAUCUGCCAAAUCUGCAGACCUGCAUUUGUGGUACAUCAGUACUCCCUCUGUAAAUAUAAGAUAUUUUAGAUCACUACUAGUGGUCUAAAAGAUCUUUCCAGAUCACUACUAAAAGAUCUUUUUAGAUCACUACUAGUGAUCAUUUCUUAAAUGCAAAGUUCCUAGUCACUGCCCUAUUAAGCUGCUAAUCAAAAUUUACAACAUUUGACAACCAAGUAGUUUUCAUCAGUAAUGCACUGUGGAAGAACAAUCUUAAUUACUUCCUUGCGACUACCGGACUCUAUCCAAAUUAUCUGAACAGGGACCAAAUUUCUACAAAUGUACUAUAUCCCAAUUAUCACCUAAGAUUUUUACAUCUCUAUUAAUGUUAGUAUGUUGCGAACUAACCUCUUAGCCCACAAUGGACCUUGAGGGUUGACCUUACCUAUACACAGCCGCGACACCUGCGGCGAGUUGCCCCUUCUGUGCGUGCAAAACAGAAAAAGAUCACGAUAUACUUACGAAUCGACAUACCUCCUGAUUGAUUAGUUGCAUUAGGAACUUCAUCGUUGGCGGCCGCCUCUGCUUCCUAUCCCUCUUUCUCACUCCUCUGCUUCCAAAUGCCGUCCAUGCUGGGGCCUUUGGGGGAGAAGAGCCAGAGCUCUGCAUCCAAUUUGUGCCUGCAGCCAUUCGACGGAAAAGCGGAUUUCCUGAGCCACGGACCAAAUUGAUUUUCGUCUUCCGAUCCGCGGCUUAGCUUGCUGCAUUCCACCUGCAUUGUAGAUCAAGGUUUUCAGAUUUCCAUUUCAUAUUAAGCUACCAAACAACUACAUCAAUUCUAUCUCUUGAAACUCUCAUGCUUACCACUCGUUGACUCAUCAUUCUCGUUCCAGUCACCAGAGGAGUCUGAUUUCCCUCAUUAUCUUUCUUGCUUCUAGAGUUUUGGUCCAGUGGUCCUGCUAGCUAAUUUACCUCCCUUAGAGAUGACACUGUGCUAACAGCAUUGUUGGUACACAACAGCUUUUCAUGAACAUGACACAUUCUUGAAAAUUAUAUCAUGCCCCGGGGCCCUCUGCUUCAAAUAAACAUAAAAAAUCAUGCUUAGUGUGACAGAAAACAGUAUGGGAAGAAGAGAAAAGGCAUGCUACUCAUGAUUUAUUUGAUAACAAAAUUGAUAAGGUGAUGGAAAUGGCUAAGACAGACUGAACGACGAGUUCGCUUCAAACAGACAGCAAAAAACUGUAGGUUCUGCAAAUCAUGUUUACAAAAAAUGUACUCCUAAGCAUCCAAUUUUUAAAAUGUCUCUGCAAAUAUUCCCUCAAGGAACCAGUAUCUUGUGAGCCCACACUUCUACUCACCAGACUAUUUAGCUGCUAAACCAGAAAAAAUGUUUUGACUAGUACCUCGUUCUGUUCUAUUAAACUUAAAACAUCUGCCAAAUCUGCAGACCUGCAUUUGUGGUACAUCAGUACUCCCUCUGUAAAUAUAAGAUCUUUUAGAUCACUACUAGUGAUCUAAAAGAUCUUUCCAGAUCACUACUAAAAGAUCUUUUUAGAUCACUACUAGUGAUCAUUUCUUAAAUGCAAAGUUCCUAGUCACUGCCCUAUUAAGUUGAUAAUCAAAAUUUACAACAUUUGACAACCAAGUAGUUUUCAUCAGUAAUGCACUGUGGAAGAACAAUCUUAAUUACUUCCUUGCGACUACCGGACUCUAUCCAAAUUAUCUGAACAGGGACCAAAUUUCUACAAAUGUACUAUAUCCCAAUUAUCACCUAAGAUUUUUACAUCUCUAUUAAUGUUAGUAUGUUGCGAACUAACCUCUUAGCCCACAAUGGACCUUGAGGGUUGACCUUACCUAUACACAGCCGCGACACCUGCGGCGAGUUGCCCCUUCUGUGCAUGCAAAACAGAAAAAGAUCACGAUAUACUUACGAAUCGACAUACCUCCUGAUUGAUUAGUUGCAUUAGGAACUUCAUCGUUGGCGGCCGCCUCUGUUUCCUAUCCCUCUUUCUCACUCCUCUGCUUCCAAAUGCGUCCAUGCUGGGGCCUUUGGGGGAGAAGAGCCAGAGCUCUGCAUCCAAUUUGUGCCUGCAGCCAUUCAACGGAAAAGCGGAUUUCCUGAGCCACGGACCAAAUUGAUUUUCGUUUUCCGAUCCGCGGCUUAGCUUGCUGCAUUCCACC